ACUGAAUCCAUAGGUUAAUGAGGCGAACCGGGGGAACUGAAACAUCUAAGUACCCCGAGGAAAAGAAAUCAACCGAGAUUCCCCCAGUAGCGGCGAGCGAACGGGGAGGAGCCCAGAGCCUGAAUCAGCAUGUGUGUUAGUGGAAGCGUCUGGAAAGGCGCGCGAUACAGGGUGACAGCCCCGUACACAAAAGCGCAUGUGCUGUGAGCUCGAUGAGUAGGGCGGGACACGUGGUAUCCUGUCUGAAUAUGGGGGGACCAUCCUCCAAGGCUAAAUACUCCUGACUGACCGAUAGUGAACCAGUACCGUGAGGGAAAGGCGAAAAGAACCCCGGCGAGGGGAGUGAAAAAGAACCUGAAACCGUGUACGUACAAGCAGUGGGAGCACAGGUUUACCUGUGUGACUGCGUACCUUUUGUAUAAUGGGUCAGCGACUUAU
rnacentral:rRNA from 1 species